AAAUUACAAAUUAUUCAUUCACAUAACUAAUACACAAACCCUAAGUGUUUGUUCACAACACAUCGUACAGAUUCCGCAUACGUUUUUCUUUUAGACUCCAAUUAUGUCUCUCUUCACGUCUUUCUUCAGUUGCUUUGUUCCAAAUUCCAGCUCAAAGAUUAGUUCAAUCGAUGGUAGCAUCCCGAAAGGCUUGUCAUUGGAGAAGCCAAAAGGCAAAUCUGAAUCUCUUAAAGCUCCAAUCAUUGUAUCUUAUUUCCCCGUGGGUUCGCGUCUUUCGCGUUUGUAAGAAUUGUGUGGGACGGUCGUUGGCAUAUUUGUUGUCAUGUGAAGACUUUUUUUUUUGUUCCUUUUGUUUGAUUAUUUGCAAAUUGUAAUGCACCACCUAGCUAGGUUUGAUAACAGCAUAUUUAGGUCUAGCAACAAACUUAUAUGCUUUGUAUUCAAAGCCAAAUAAAAAGUUAUAACGCUUACAUCUAUAUAUAUAAAGAAGAGUGUUUCUCUCCCAAUGUGACAACUAGGAUGCCAGCGUGGAAAUUCGCUUGCUCUCGCGUCGACACGUCAGCGUGUCAUUUAAAGUUUGGGCUUUGAGUUAAUAUUGCUAAUGGGCUAUUGUAUUUCGUCGACAUGUCCGGCCGUGGAAGUGUGAUACGCCCCCUAAUCUUAGCUGUUCGCGCAGAUCUCUGAAUAGUGAUCUUUUUCUCUGCGGCAGAAGCGCCUGUCCUUUGCGCUCCCUUCCCCUCGCUGAAACGGCCGAGCUUUAACAUCAUAUACAAUCCAUUCAAUUCCAUCUCCCACUACGUUGUGAAUCAAUGCGUCGUUCAUGGCUCCUAGGCGGUGUCGCAUCUAUAUAAAUAUUCCAGCCGUUGCUCCUCCGUCGUCGAGGCAAGACUGCUCCGGUCUCCGGUCCUGGGAGGCAAGAAAUAUCGCGAGCUCAUGUGGGUUGACAUGCUCUUCCUGGACGUCAACGCAAUUGAAGAACAAAGAUGAGGAUAGAGUAGUUAAGAACAAUGAAGGUCUGCCUCAGCCAUUUUUGGGAAGCUGCAAUGAUCGUGCAAGGCAGCUCCAGGCUUCUUCUUCAGGUCUUUUCCCAUGUUUAAAGUUUUCUUUGUUGACUCGGUCAAGUUACUUGGUUUGAGGCUACGAUCAGUUCGCAAGUGAUUGACAUAAAUAUUCUGCCGUUCAGGCGUUCAAUCCCCUGGAGGUAGCAAAGAGUCAGACCCUGUGAAGGUUGCUAGAGGAGUUAAAGCUAUUUCCAGGAGGACACAGUCAUUGGUUGAGAGGUUUGAGAGAAGAGACACAAUUACACUUCCGGAAGAAAGAUAAAGCAGCAAUAGUUCAGAGCACUAAUGCUGUGGAGAAAGUGGCCAAAUCAUCAUCGAAACGAGCAGUUAGCAUAAUGCCUACCCAGGUCAUGGAAGUUGAACUUGAUAAGGCAACUAACUUGACCGCAGUUGAAACUCCUGUGAUAUUUAUUGCAAGACCACAGUUGAAACUCCUGUAAUAUCCAGCUGUUUUUAAUCAAUAAUGCAAUUCUCUGCAACUUUCUUACA